GAUGAAGAACGUAGCGAAAUGCGAUACGUAAUGUGAAUUGCAGAAUUCAGUGAAUCAUCGAGUCUUUGAACGCACAUUGCGCCCUCUGGUAUUCCGGAGGGCAUGCCUGUCCGAGCGUCAUUGCUGCCCUCAAGCACGGCUUGUGUGUUGGGCCCCGCCCCCCGAUCCCGGGGGGCGGGCCCGAAAGGCAGCGGCGGCACCGCGUCCGGUCCUCGAGCGUAUGGGGCUUUGUCACCCGCUCUGUAGGCCCGGCCGGCGCUUGCCGAUCAACCAAACUUUUUUCCAGGUUGACCUCGGAUCAGGUAGGGAUACCCGCUGAACUUAAGCAUAUCGAUAAGCGGAGGA
rnacentral:misc_RNA from 1 species